AAACAUUCAAAAAAAAAAAUUGCCUUGUUAUAUUUUUUAAUAUUAUUUUCUUACUACAGUGAGGUGAUACUACGACUAGGAGUUCACCUUCCCAGCUCCGUAAAAAGCUGGCCGUUCGAAACAGCCAUUUAAUGGUAAAAGUUUGAAAUUUCUAAUACAAAUUCUUAAGUUUUAUCUUCUAAUAUAAAUCUGUUUGGCUGCUGAGGAAACACCAGAAAAGAAGAGUAUGUCAGUCUUAUUUGUUAUGCUUUAGUUUCUUCCACAGGUUCUAGCACUGCUCAACCAUCCACAGUAAUUACAAAAUAAAACUUGUACCUUUAUAUGAUGUGCUGCUUUUGUUUCGCUUGUCAUUCGUGAAUUGAAGAACAAGAUUUGGUACAACUGUUGGUUGUUCCUUCUCAUCCAAAUGACAUGUAGCUUGGAUUGGGAAAAUGCAAUGACACCAACUGCAUCAAUGAAUUGCCACUUCAAAUUAGAUCUAAUAAACGUAAUAAAAGGAUAAUACAAGCACCAGAGAGCCAGAAACUCGAUUGAGAAAACUAUUAUAUUUCAGCAUAUCUCAUACAAUAAGGGACUUCUAUAGGAUGCAAUCAGGAAAAAGAAAUCUUUGAAUUGGUAUUACUAAUCCGAAUAAUAGAAGGAAAAAUCUUUUAGAUCUCUAAAAGUGCCUAUGAAGCAUAGUAAUUCUUUAAAGCUUUGUUCAAUGAAACAUGAGCUUUUGUGAGUGAUAUUUACCUUAGAAGAUGUUAGUAUCUCAAGACAUGAGAUAAAAUGCAAUGCUCAAUAAUUUGAAAGAUGGUUCAUGACAUGAUACACAAGCUAACAAGUCAUAUCAAUACAUAAGAUUUCUCAAAAGAAAACUGAUUUAUUGGAUGACAUACAGUAAACUCUCGGGAAGAGAUGAGUUUCAAUAUUGGUAGAUGAAUGCCAAAAGCACAUGAUGCUACAGAAAGUAGAAAACCAGAACAUUGAAAGUAUUAUUUAACUGUUUCCAGUAGAAGAAAAGCGAGGCAUGUAAAAAAUAAAACGAAGCAACAGGUUCACAUUAUCAGAGAUCUAUGUAGAACCAUGCUAUUCAGUAAGAAAAGAGAAUAAAUUAAUAACAGUCAUGCCCACAACUUACAGAGGUGACCUUAGACUCCCAGAUUCCAGACACUGAAAAAUAUUUGAUACUAUAACAACAGUGUCAGGAGAACUUUCUCUGGCAAAUCUCAGACUAAGCAAACCAUUCCCUGUCAACUUGACCAGGGAAAGAACAGAACUUUUUUCUUCUAUUGCAUCCAUCUCUUUUGAAAGCCCAUCUGUGUCCUCACUAACGCUCUUGCUUUUCAUGCCUUCAGCACUUGUUCUAACUAUUUCAUCAAUCUGUGUUUUCCUUCUCUUAGUGCUUUGGCUUGCAUUGGAGCUUUCCAAACAUUCAGAGGCCCCACAGUUAUAGGACCCUAUAUACUAUAAAAGAAAAAGAACUAGAAAAAUCAAAGUAUUAGCACUGACAGCAAAAUAUAUUUCUAAUAUGUGAUCUCUCAUUACAUGUUAUAUCACAGAUGAAACUCCAAGAGAACAGAAUGAAGGUGUACUCAAGUAGUCACCUAAUUUAUCAGGCUGAGAGCCCAGAAGGCCUUCCGCCCAUAAUCAAGUUAAAAAUAUAUCAACAUCUUUUCCUAUCAAGGGAGUCCAAAUUCGAAAAUAUGUGGAAGAAAAUGUCAGCUCAUGGACCCAAUAAAAUGAUAAAGAUACCUUUUCAAAUGAACACUUUUAAAAUGAGAAAGCAGAAAACUGAUACACUCUUGAAGUUCAUUUAACUUAUCAGCACCUUUCCAAAAUCUAAUACUCAGAAACCUUCCUAACCGUGAAAUUGAAAAAUGCAACUGAAUGAGUAUUGCCCUCCAGAAGAACACCUAGAUAAGUUAAAAGGCCAUGAUUAAGUCACAAAUUCAUUCUACCAAAGAAGUGAAACCAGAGAAAGUCUCAUAGAAAGGUCCCAGUGACAAUCAUAGUUAUUAAGGGCGCACCUCUGACAUGCCUCAGGCUCAAGGCUCAUAAGGCUCGAACCCUAGCGCCUUAUGUGCCUAGGUGUGCGCCUUUGUUCCUAACACAAGAUUCUGGAAAGGCAUGCCUUCUUUAUUUCCAUCUUUAGCGAGCAC
rnacentral:misc_RNA from 1 species